UCAUGAAAUGGGUUUCCAUGGCCGAGCAGCCAUACACAAGUGUUAAGAUCACCACAUGCAAUGCCAAGCAUCGGGUGAAGUGGUGUAAAGCACACCACCAUUGAACUCUGGAGCAGUGGAAAUGCUUUUCUUAAUGCUACACCACACAAUGACAUUCUAUACAACUGUGUGCUUCCAACUUCGUGGCAACAGUUUGGGGAAAGCCAUUACCCAUUUCAGCAAGACAAUGCCCCCCAUGCACAAACCAAGGUCCAUAAAUGGUAAAUGGAC